rnacentral:rRNA from 1 species
CUUAUGUAGCUAAGUUAGCGGCGGACGGGUGAGUAACACGUGGGUAACCUGCCCAUAAGACUGGGUAGUCAUAACUCCGGGAAACCGGGGCUAAUACCGGAUAACAUUUUGAACCGCAUGGUUCGAAAUUGAAAGGCGGUUCGGCUGUCACUUAUGGAUGGACCCGCGUCGCAUUAGCUAGUUGGUGAGGUAACGGCUCACCAAGGCAACGAUGCGUAGCCGACCUGAGCCUAUGAUCGGCCACACUGGGACUGAGACACGGCCCAGACUCCUACGGGAGGCAGCAGUAGGGAAUCUUCCGCAAUGGACGAAAGUCUGACGGAGCAACGCCGCGUGAGUGAUGAAGGCUUUCGGGUCGUAAAACUCUGUUGUUAGGGAAGAACAAGUGCUAGUUGAAUAAGCUGGCACCUUGACGGUACCUAACCAGAAAGCCACGGCUAACUACGUGCCAGCAGCCGCGGUAAUACGUAGGUGGCAAGCGUUAUCCGGAAUUAUUGGGCGUAAAGCGCGCGCAGGUGGUUUCUUAAGUCUGAUGUGAAAGCCCACGGCUCAACCGUGGAGGGUCAUUGGAAACUGGGAGACUUGAGUGCAGAAGAGGAAAGUGGAAUUCCAUGUGUAGCGGUGAAAUGCGUAGAGAUAUGGAGGAACACCAGUGGCGAAGGCGACUUUCUGGUCUGUAACUGACACUGAGGCGCGAAAGCGUGGGGAGCAAACAGGAUUAGAGGCCCUGGUAGUCCACGCCGUAAACGAUGAGUGCUAAGUGUUAGAGGGUUUCCGCCCUUUAGUGCUGAAGUUAACGCAUUAAGCACUCCGCCUGGGGAGUACGGCCGCAAGGCUGAAACUCAAAGGAAUUGACGGGGGCCCGCACAAGCGGUGGAGCAUGUGGUUUAAUUCGAAGCAACGCGAAGAACCUUACCAGGUCUUGACAUCCUCUGACAACGGAUGAGAUAGGGCUUCUCCUUCGGGAGCAGAGUGACAGGUGGUGCAUGGUUGUCGUCAGCUCGUGUCGUGAGAUGUUGGGUUAGUCCCGCAACGAGCGCAACCCUUGAUCUUAGUUGCCAUCAUUAAGUUGGGCACUCUAAGGCCGCUGCCGGUGACAAACCGGAGGAAGGUGGGGAUGACGUCACAUCAUCAUGCCCCUUAUGACCUGGGCUACACACGUGCUACAAUGGACGGUACAAAGAGCUGCAAGACCGCGAGGUGGAUCAGCUAAUCUCAUAAAACCGUUCGCAUCGGAUUGUAGGAUCGAUCAA